rnacentral:piRNA from 1 species
UACUCAACAUCCAGCAGCCACCAAGUUCU